rnacentral:rRNA from 1 species
UACGUAGGGUGCGAGCGUUAAUCGGAAUUACUGGGCGUAAAGGGUGCGCAGGCGGUUAUAUAAGACAGAUGUGAAAUCCCCGGGCUCAACCUGGGAACUGCGUUUGUGACUGUAUGACUAGAGUACGGUAGAGAGGGGUGGAAUUCCUGGUGUAGCAGUGAAAUGCGUAGAUAUCAGGAGGAACAUCGAUGGCGAAGGCAGCCCCUUGGACCUGUACUGACGCUCAUGCACGAAAGCGUGGGUAGCAAACAGG